rnacentral:tRNA from 1 species
GCCAGCAUGGCAUAAGGGUUUGAGUGUUGGACUAUGACUCUGGAGACCAGGGUUCGAAUCCUGGCUCAGCCA